AAAAAACCCAUAACUAGUCAUCCACUUAUACCCGAUAGGUUUGUGUCGAAUCAAACAGAUAUCCAGCUUCAGUAGCCUCUCGUAAGAUCAUAGUAGUAUCGUAGUAUGAUAAAUAAUCACGAUGUCAUUGUAAUCUUUUAAUAUAUCCGUUUGAUAUGGAUAAUGAUUCACUCCGAAAAUCCACAGCAGCAUUUGGUAUCAGUUGAUAAAAGAAGAUAUAGAUUUGUCUCAUUCAAUAUAAAUAAGUUAGAUUCAUAUCAAGCGACUUCAAAUCAGGCGUGUGUUGCAAUAGUGAAGGAUUGACCAUGGCCGCUCUCAUCAAACUUAGUCUUUUUGUGAUUACGAUCAUCGCGAUGGUUAACUCGCAGCGUGUCGUCGAUAUUCCCAUGGGUAGGCCUCCAAAUUUGCCGUGGAUUCCACAAUGGGUUGCGUGCGAAUUCGACUACGGAAUAUAUAAACUUGGUCCCACAUGUAACGACUGCUACAGUACUUCCUACUGCACUCCAAAAGGGGGCAUCUUGAGGAACUGCUUUGGUUUGACACCUUACUGCGUUAAUGGAAAAUGUGCUGAAGAACCCAGUGCGGACUGCGCAGAUGUUGAGACAGUCACUGACGUUUAUUAGGGUCUGAUCGUUUGAUUGUUUAUUAGGUUAUGUACCAAUAAUCAAAUAUUGUAAAUAUAUUAAAGUAAAUCAUUAUAUAAAUAAA